rnacentral:piRNA from 1 species
AUUUUUUGAUACCUGGGCAGCUG